rnacentral:rRNA from 1 species
GACCAACGCUGGCGGCAUGCCUAACACAUGCCAGUCGAACGGACAGACCAGGGAAGCUUUUCGGAGUGGAACUGGAAAGUUAGUGGCGGAUGGGUGAGUAACGCGUGGACAACCUACCUUGUAAAGGGGAAUAACCUCGAGAAAUCGAAGCUAAUACCCCAUAAUAACCUUGCUUCGCAUGAAGUAAGGAGGAAAGGCGGCCUUAGCGCUGUCGAUACAAGAUGGGUCCGCGUCUGAUUAGCUAGUUGGUGAGGUAAAGGCUCACCAAGGCGACGAUCAGUAGCCGGCCUGAGAGGGUGAACGGCCACAUUGGGACUGAGACACGGCCCAAACUCCUACGGGAGGCAGCAGUGGGGAAUCUUCCGCAAUGGGCGAAAGCCUGACGGAGCAAUGCCGCGUGAGUGAAGAAGGCCUUCGGGUUGUAAAACUCUGUCCUUAUCGAAGAGAGAGUGUUGUAGUAACUGACAAUACUAGGACGGUAGAUGAGGAGGAAGCCCCGGCUAACUAUGUG